UACAGAGGGGGCAAGCGUUGUUCGGAAUUACUGGGCGUAAAGCGCGUGUAGGCUGCUUCAUAAGUCGGGUGUGAAAGCCCUGGGCUCAACCUAGGAAGUGCACUCGAAACUGCGAAGCUUGAGUCCUGGAGAGGAAGGCGGAAUUCUCGGUGUAGAGGUGAAAUGCGUAGAUAUCGGGAGGAACACCAGUGGCGAAGGCGACUUCUUGGCCUGUUCUUGACGCUGAGGCGCGAAAGCUGGGGGAGCAAACGGG
rnacentral:rRNA from 1 species